GUCAAAUCAGCCUCAUGUGUUUAACAUAUUAUCAGUUACAUUUGUGCCCCUCAACUCAAAAAUAUAAUGAGAUGUGGGUACUUGGACUCGAGAUUUAACUCGAAAUUGAUUGCAUUCAAAAAUUGUGCGACAUUGCAUGGUGGGCAACCAUCUCGGAAAAAGUUUUUUUUUUUUUCAAAUCAAUGUCCGUGAGUUCGAAUCCCAGUCACUCUUUGGAUACGAAAUUUACAAAUGACAUGUAUAUGGAGACCAUAUUGAAUUAAUUGUAGUACUAAAAUAGCUAGUUUUACAUAAAGCUUUGAAAUAAAGUAUCAAACACAA
rnacentral:lncRNA from 1 species